rnacentral:rRNA from 1 species
GACCCCGCACAAGCGGCGGAGCAUGCGGCUUAAUUCGAUGAUACCCGUAGAACCUUACCUGGACUUGACAUAUAGGGAAAGUUAUAGAAAUAUAAUGUGCAUUAGCGCCCUAUACAGGUGGUGCAUGGCUGUCGUCAGCUCGUGUCGUGAGAUGUUGGGUUAAGUCCCGCAACGAGCGCAACCCCCCUGUCCUAUGUUGCCAGCAAGUAAUGUUGGGGACUCAUAGGAGACUGCCGUGAUAAACCGGAGGAAGGUGGGACGACGUCAAGUCAGCAUGCCCCUUAUGUCCUGGGCUACACACGUGCUACAAUGGUUAAGACAAAGAGUCGCGAGCUCGUGAGAGUAAGC